CUAUGUUGGUCAGACUGGUCUCAAACUCCCGACCUCAGGUGAUCCGCCGCCUCGGCCUCCCAAAGUGCUGGGAUUACAGGUGUGAGCCACCACGCCCGGCCUCAAGGCUGUGUUUCAGUGAAAUAUCCCUUGCAAAUCUUUACCUGGGUGGGUUACAGUGUUUUCACUAGACUCUUCAAUAGAAUUAAUAUUUUAAGAAAUGCCACUUGUUUAUUUGAAAAGUAUAAGAAUCCUAUCAAUGCAGUAGGCAUGAAUGUAUUCAUGUGUCUGGCUGUUCAUGAAGCAGCUGAUAUCUUAAGUGUAAGAGGUGAGAUUUACUGACUACCAGUAAAAUAUGCGAGUUGGGAGGCUAAUGAUUUUAAAUUGUAAAUGCGUCUGCAUAAGAUCCUUUAAAAUAGCUUUUAUUGUUCUUAAAUUUAUGUUUAAAAGAAAUUGACAUUAAUAUUUUCAAAUCAUCCAUAAUCUCCCAAACCUUUUUUGGUUUUCUGUUUAGUACCAUUUAAAUCUUUGUGUAUGUGUAUAUGAGCUACCUUUAAAAGAGCAGUCACCCAUGCGAGCAUUUGUUACCCAAUUAGUUUGUACUUUUUUUUGGUUUUUAUUUUGUUGUUGUUAUUUGUUUCUUUUUGAGAUGGAGUCUCGCUCUUCUCACGCAGGCUGGAAUGCAAUAAUGGCAUAAUCUUGGCUCACUGCAACCUCCGCCUCCCAGGUUCAAGCGAUUCUCCAGCCUGAGUCUCCCGAGUAGCUGGGAUUACAGGCGCCCACCAGCACACCCAGCUAAAUUUUUGUAUUUUUAGUAGAGACGGGUUUCUCCAUGUUGGUCAGGCUGGUCUCGAACUCUCAACCUCAGGUGAUCCGCCCGCCUUGGCCUCCCAAAGUGCUGGGAUUACACGCGUGAGCCACUGCGCCCGGCCUAGUUUGUGCUUUUUACUUACCAGUUAGGGGUUAUAUUACUGUGUAACAAAAUGGACGGUUAUUUCUAUUCAUUAACAAGAUUCAAGUAAUAGCCUCUUUAGCCACAUAUUCCUUAAUAACACCUUUAGACCUUAUAGGGGUAAUUAUUUUCUAUAUACUUUUCCAAUGUAUUUGAAAGUUUGUUGGCUCUUCUUCCGUAAUUAUACUAUAUCCUCAGUAAAGAAAGUUUGGCAUACAGAAAAGUUGAAGGAAGAAAAUUUUCAAUCACUGUUGUUCCACUACCAAGAAAUAAUACUUGGAGGUAUUUCCUUUCAAUCUUCAACAUGAGGAUGCUAAUGUCCCCCUCAUAAGGGGCCUUAAAGUCACUGACUCUGUGCACUAUUUCAUGAGAACAUUGAUGUGGGUAUUUAACCGAAAGAAAACUUGAGUUUUCUUUUUUUCCUUUUUAUUGUGAAAAUUUGGAAACUUAUUCAAAAAGUAGAAUAGUUAACUAAUUGAUGUACCCAUCAGCAAGCUUCAGUGAUUACCACCAUUUAAUUUUGUCUGCACCCCCCCACCCACUGCCACCCCAGCCCAUUCCCAGCAUGUGCCUCUGAAAGAGACCAACUUUGUCCUUUAAAAACAACCACAGUUGGCUGGGCACGGUGGCUCAUGCCUGUAAUCCCAGUACUUUGGGAAGCAAAGGCGGGUGGAUCACCUGAGGUUGAGAGUUCGAGACUGGCCUGACCAACAUGGAGAAACCCGUCUCUACUAAAAAUACCAAAGUUAGCCGGGCGUGGUGGCGGGUGCCUGUAAUCCCAGCUACUCGGGAGGCUGAGGUAGGAGAAUCGUGUGAAUCUGGGAGGCGGAGGUUGCAGUGAGCCGAGAUCACGCCACUGCACUCCAGCCUGGGCAACAAGAGUUGUCUCAAAAAACAAAAAAGAAAGAAAGAAAAAAACAACCACAGUUUCAUCAGCACAGCAAAAAGGUUUUUGUUUUUGCUCUUGGAUUUUGUCGUUUGGUUUUUGCUUAAUAUCAAAUAUCCAGUCAGUGUAAACUCGUUUAUAAUUUGGUCCUUUGAUUUCAAGGAGCUAUGAUGCAGUUCGUUGUGGGGAUGUGUUGUCUCCAUGUCAUACAUGUGACUUUGUCCAUGUUUGCACCCAGUUCAAGGAAGACACAACCCUAGGGAAAGACAACCCUCCCCGCCAAGCCUCUCUUCCCAUUCUUAAACAUAGGGUGGCGUUAUUCAGGUUGGACCAGUUUAAAAAGACUAACGCAUUUGUCCUCGUUGUUGGGUGUUUUUUUUCUUUAAAUUUGUAAAACAGGAAUAAUUGUGUUAGGAUGAAGUAUGAUACUAGGAGAACAGGGAAAACUAACCCAUCGUGUUAAAAGUCAGAAUAGUGCUUAACUCUGGCAGGAGGUGAGAUGGUUAGUAAUUCAGAAGGGGGUGCCAGGAGAGCUUCCAGAGCCAUUGAAAUGUUCAGUAGCUUGAUCUGGGUGAUGAUUUACAUACAUAAAAACAUAUUAAACUUUGAACUUAAGAUUUAUGCCUUUUACUGUUUGCACCCUAUAACUCCAAAAGAAAAGUAGAGGGGAAAAAGAGUCCCUGCAAAAGGCAGUCUUGAAAGAAAGCAAGUCUGUGAUGUGGAGAAUGCAUUGGACAGCUCUCAGCAAUUUGCUGUAGCUUGGGCAGAGAGAUAAAAGCUAAUGCCAGCAUCAGGUUGCCCAGGCGAGAGAAGGCCUGAAAGAAGACAGCGUGGAGAAAGUGUCAGCAAGCUUCAGCAACAGCAGGAGGCAGAUGGUAGGAGAGUGGGCCUCAGGUGUGGUGUGGCAGAGCAGAGUAGCCACACUUAGGCCCCAGAGACAGUGUCUUCUCACCCUCAGUUGAAGGGGCAGGAAAUCAAUCGCUCUAGUCACCCCUAAGCUGGAGGACGGACCUAAAGUUGCCACAGCUUUGAGAGGCAAAGAAGUUUGCUCAGUGGCUUUUAGAGACUUCUAGGGCCCUGGGACCCUGACACUGAGGAGGAGCAAACUGAAGGGGAGAGUGGGCACAUUCCUUGUUGGCUGCUGUGGUGAGCAGCAGCUGGUCGUUGUCAGUCAAGCUCCGGACCACUCUGAUGAUGCUCACUGCAUUUUGAUGGAGUAAGCCAGGGACAUUACCACUGUGUUUGAGCCAUCUGAAGUAUUCCUGGGUGGGUCUGCAGUUGGCAGCCCGUGAUCCUUUUUCCAUUCAAGGAUGAUGCAAAGGUAAGGGGCCAAGGCUGAGCUCUGUAGAUGCCUGUGAGAGCCUCCUGGUCUCAAGAGGUCAUACCAAGGGCCUUGGCCACCAAGGUUUCGUGAGGACCUUGAGGUGGUUUCGCCAUCACAAUGUCAGACGUGUCACACACCAUCUGGUAUGUCCUCACUGUAUAGAGGAAGAAGGGCCCAAGUGGUGAAUUAUCUACAAGUUUGUAGCAAAGCUAAUACUCAGACUCCCUCUACAGCCUUGCUACUCAGUGUAGUCUGUGGUCCGGCAGUGUCACACCACUGGGGUACUUAGCAGAAAUGCAGCUUCUCAGGCUCCACUCCAGCUCUCCUCAAUCACAGUCUGUUUUUUUGUUUGUUUGUUUGUUUGUUUUGAGAUGGAGUUUCGCUCUUGUUGCCUAGGCUGGA
rnacentral:lncRNA from 10 species